AUAGAACUGAGGAGGGAGGGCGCAAUAUCACAGCGAUAUGUCAAACAGACAGAGGAACAGGAAGGAGAGCAGAAAAGAUGAGAGAAGAAAGAAAGUCAUACACAUCUGGGAUUGCAUGAGGCUAAACAACACACAGAGCAACUUGCCCAGACAGAUGCCAGGCUGCAGAGAAGCCAGCUCUUUGAUACCUGUCCAACAGUGACGACGUCACAUCCUAUCCACACAGCAGGGGGCAACAGAUGGUUUGUGUCAUCCGCUAUCUUACUUGGGUGCUUUCUAAAACAUCUUUCACUCCCCAAAAAGGGUUGUGAUGGAAGAUGAAUAGGAGAACACAUAAGAGGUUGAAAAUGAAAGAGAUGGAAGACUGUUUCAAGCGUCUCCAUGACUACAGUAUCUGUCUGGCCAAAUGUGGUUAGUCAUUUUAAGUGUGUCUCUAAGUGUAUAUGUAUGUCGACACAUUAUUUCUGUUGUAUUCUGGAGUCUGGAUUAA